UGAAUACGAGAUGCUACGGCGUCGAAGCAGUCUAUGUCAUACUUCCAAGAAAAGCUCGCACUGUCAUAAACAAAUAAUGCCUGUACCAUAACCGACACAGGUGGGUAGGUAGAGUAUACUAAGGGGCGCGAGAUAACUCUCUCUAAGGAACUCGGCAAAAUGACUCCGUAACUUCGGGAGAAGGAGUGCCUUAUUUAUAAGGUUGCAAUAACAAGAUCCAAGUAACUGUUUAUCAAAAACACAGGUCUCCGCUAAGUCGUAAGACGAUGUAUGGGGGCUGACGCCUGCCCAGUGCCAGAAGGUUAAAGAAGUUGGUUAGCAUUCGCGAAGCUGAUAACUGAAGCCCUGGUGAACGGCGGCCGUAACGAUAACGGUCCUAAGGUAGCGAAAUUCCUUGUCGGGUAAGUUCCGACCCGCACGAAAGGCGUAAUGAUUUGGAUACUGUCUCGGAGAGGGGCUCGGUGAAAUAGACUUGUCUGUGAAGAUGCGGACUACCUGCACCAGGACAGAAAGACCCUAUGAAGCUUUACUGUAACUUGAGAUUGAAAUUGGACUUUACUUGCGCAGUAUAGGUGGGAGGCGUUGAUAAUAUUCUUGCGGGAUUAUUUGAGCCAUCAGUGAGAUACCACUCUUGUAAUGUUAGAUUUCUAACUUUGUAUCAUUAUCUGGUCAAAGGACAGUUUCAGGCGGGCAGUUUGACUGGGGCGGUCGCCUCCUAAACGGUAACGGAGGCGCACAAAGGUUUCCUCUGAACGGGUAGAAAUCGUAUCUAGAGUGUAAAGGCAUAAGGAAGCUUGACUGUGAGACCUACAAGUCGAGCAGGGACGAAAGUCGGUCUUAGUGAUCUGACGGUGCUGAGUGGAAAGGCCGUCACUCAACGGAUAAAAGUUACUCUAGGAUAACAGGCUGAUCUCCCCCAAGAGUUCACAUCGACGGGGAGGUUUGGCACCUCGAUGUCGGCUCAUCGCAUCCUGGGGCGGUAGUACGUCCCAAGGGUUGGGCUGUUCGCCCAUGAAAGCGGUACGCGAGCUGGGUUCAGAACGUCGUGAGACAGUUCGGUCCAUAUCCGGUGUAGGCGUUAGAAUAUUGAGAGGAGCCUUCUUUAGUACGAGAGGACCGAGAAGGACAUACCUCUGGUGUACCAGUUAUCGUGCCAACGGUAAACGCUGGGUAGCUAUGUAUGGAGUGGAUAACCGCUGAAAGCAUCUAAGUGGGAAGCCCACCUCAAGAUAAGUAUUCUCA
rnacentral:rRNA from 1 species